AUGAAAAUGAAAUGGAACACAGUUCCUCUUCCUCUCCACUUUUGUCUUUUCUUUCUUGUUUUAUAUACAACAUUAAUUAAAAGUAUAACAUGAACACUUACUCACCAAAUACAUGAACUAGCACUAUUGUUAAGAUGAUUGAAUUCCACCCGUAUUCGAUGAAAACAUAAAACGUUAUCAACACGAAUUACUCGAUAGCUGCAGUGUGUUCCUUGGUCGAUUAGAGGAGUUGUAGCGGGAGCAACAUCUAUAAUUGGCGGAAAUUAUUAUUUUUCUUUCCCUAAUUCUUUAUGUUUUAUGUUUAUUGAAUAUAAUCUUAACUUUGUACUUACCCAUAUUAUUUUUGUUGUGGUCAGGAUACCGUAACGGAUUAAAGUUUCGAUUUGUACAGUUAAAUUGAACUUUAUCCUAAUUAAGGCGCAUAUAUAUAUAUAUAUAAACGUGAUAUAUAUUUUAAUUUGUAAUUGUUGGUAAGUAUGGGAUGAAAUUUGUUCCACCAGAAGAUGGAACAUCGCGUGGUAUAAUAUGGGUGCAAAAUGUGUGCUCUGCUAGCCAGUUGGUCCCAGAAGUGACCCGUUAUAAGUGCUAGCCAUUCCUAUCGCUGGUCCCUGAAGUGACCAACUAGGCAACUUUGCCAUAAACAGUUUAUCCAUUUGUGCACUUGUAAACUAAUAUUCCGUUGACCCUGAAGGUGACGAAGUUGGAGAUUUGUUGAUAUUGUAUUAGUGCCAUAUGUGUUUUGAUGUUUAUCCUUUGUUUUAUCCUUUGUUUAUUUUCUUUGCUUAUUUUUGUAAGUAAUCGAUUCCAGAAGCAAUCCAUGAAAUGUUGUCGACUCCAAAA